UAUCUGCCGUGGGCGAUGGAGAACUGAGGGGGGCUGCUCCUAGUACGAGAGGACCGGAGUGGACGCAUCACUGGUGUUCGGGUUGUCAUGCCAAUGGCACUGCCCGGUAGCUAAAUGCGGAAGAGAUAAGUGCUGAAAGCAUCUAAGCACGAAACUUGCCCCGAGAUGAGUUCUCCCUGACCCUUUAAGGGUCCUGAAGGAACGUUGAAGACGACGACGUUGAUAGGCCGGGUGUGUAAGCGCAGCGAUGCGUUGAGCUAACCGGUACUAAUGAACCGUGAGGCUUAACCUU
rnacentral:rRNA from 1 species